CCUAAGAAUUGAGGCAGUGUGGUAAUUUAAACAGUAGCUCUGGAACCCUCUGCAAGCACACUGGUAUACCUCACUAUGAAGAAAGCUGCUUAGGAGUUACCAUCUCCACAACAGACAAAGUAAUUGAGGAUCUGCCUACAAGAGCUAAGAAAAGCUGCCCCAGGACCUGCUGCUUGUAGCUCAUGAAAUCAUGAG